rnacentral:tRNA from 1 species
GGUUGUGGCUCAGUGGUAGAGUGCUUGCCUGGCACAUGUGAGGCACUGGGUUUGAUCCUCAGCACCA